GAUGAACGCUGGCGGCGUGCCUAAUACAUGCAAGUCGAGCGAACGGACGAGAAGCUUGCUUCUCUGAUGUUAGCGGCGGACGGGUGAGUAACACGUGUAUAACCUACCUAUAAGACUGGGAUAACUUCGGGAAACCGGAGCUAAUACCGGAUGAUAUUUUGAACCGCAUGGUUCAAAAGUGAAAGACGGUCUUGCUGUCUCUUAUAGAUGGAUCCGCGCUGCAUUAGCUAGUUGUUAAGGUAACGGCUUACCAAGGCAACGAUGCAUAGCCGACGUGAGAGGGUGAUCGGCCACACUGGAACUGAGACACGGUCCAGACUCCUACGGGAGGCAGCAGUAGGGAAUCUUCCGCAAUGGGCGAAAGCAUGACGGAGCAACGCCGCGUGAGUGAUGAAGGUCUUCGGAUCGUAAAACUCUGUUAUUAGGGAAGAACAUAUGUGUAAGUAACUGUGCACAGCUUGACGGUAACUAAUCAGAAAGCCACGGCUAACUACGUG
rnacentral:rRNA from 1 species